rnacentral:rRNA from 1 species
GAUGAACGCUGGCGGCGUGCUUAACACAUGCAAGUCGAACGGAAAGGCCCUGCUUUUGUGGGGUGCUCGAGUGGCGAACGGGUGAGUAACACGUGAGUAACCUGCCCCUGACUUUGGGAUAACUUCAGGAAACUGGGGCGAAUACCGGAUAGGAGCUCCUGCUGCAUGGUGGGGGUUGGAAAGUUUCGGCGGUUGGGGCUGGACUCGCGGCUUAUCAGCUUGUUGGUGGGGUAGUGGCUUACCAAGGCUUUGACGGGUAGCCGGCCUGGGAGGGUGACCGGCCACAAUGGGACUAAGAGACGGCGCAGACUGCUACGUGAGGCAACGGUGGAGAACAUUGCACAGUGGGCGGAAGCCUGUUGCGACGGCGCCGCGUUCGGGAUGACGGCCUUCGGGUUGUAAACCGCUUUCGCCUGUGACAAAGCCGGAGUGACGGUAAUGGGUAAGGAAGCACCGGCUAACUACGUG